rnacentral:snRNA from 2 species
AUACCUUUCUCGACCUUUUGUGGCUAAGAUCAAGUGUAGUAUCUGUUCUUAUCAGUUUAAUAUUUUAUUUGUGUGUAAUUGACCCAUGCGAUAUUAAAUCUAUUAUAUGAGGGGGUAGGUCCAUCCCAGUAGCUUGCUAUCGGGACCUUCAAGUGUCUUGGUGUUGCACUUUUGCUUUUGACUGGCACACCCCAC